rnacentral:rRNA from 1 species
UACGUAGGGUGCAGGCGUUAAUCGGAAUUACUGGGCGUAAAGCGUGCGCAGGCGGCUCCUUAAGUCAGAUGUGAAAGCCCCGGGCUUAACCUGGGAACUGCGUUUGAAACUGGGGAGCUAGAGUGUAGAAGAGGGGGGUGGAAUUCCAGGUGUAGCAGUGAAAUGCGUAGAUAUCCGGAGGAACACCGGUGGCGAAGGCGACAUCCUGGACCGGUAUUGACGCUGAGGCGCGAAAGCUAGGGGAGCAAACGGG